rnacentral:rRNA from 1 species
AACGCUGGCGGCAGGCCUAACACAUGCAAGUCGAGCGCGCCUUCGGGUGAGCGGCGGACGGGUUAGUAACGCGUGGGAACGUGCCCUUCUCUACGGAAUAGCCUCUGGGAACGGAGAGUAAUACCGUAUACGCCCUUUGGGGGAAAGAUUUAUCGGAGAAGGAUCGGCCCGCGUUAGAUUAGGUAGUUGGUGGGGUAACGGCCUACCAAGCCUACGAUCUAUAGCUGGUUUUAGAGGAUGAUCAGCAACACUGGGACUGAGACACGGCCCAGACUCCUACGGGAGGCAGCAGUGGGGAAUCUUAGACAAUGGGGGCAACCCUGAUCUAGCCAUGCCGCGUGAGUGAUGAAGGCCUUAGGGUCGUAAAGCUCUUUCGCCUGUGAUGAUAAUGACAGUAGCAGGUAAAGAAACCCCGGCUAACUCCGUGCCAGCAGCCGCGGUAAUACGGAGGGGGUUAGCGUUGUUCGGAAUUACUGGGCGUAAAGCGCGCGUAGGCGGAUUAGAAAGUUGGGGGUGAAAUCCCGGGGCUCAACCCC